rnacentral:lncRNA from 1 species
GAAUUUUUAAUGACUUUGUAAAUACUUUACAAAGUCAAGUUUUUUUUGGAUAACUUGGAUUUUUGUGAAAUAAAAUAGGGUUGAUAUUUUAGAUAAUUUUGAGAGUUUUGUAAUAGAUCUAUAAAUGAAAUUUUGUGGAUUAAUGGUCAUAGUUUUAUUUAUUAUUUAUUGUGAAUUUUAGCUUGACUUAAUGGUUGAAAUGAGGUUUAUUGAAGUUUAAGUGGGUCAAGGUCUUAGAAAGUAGAAUUUUAGGUCCAAUGAAGGUUUUUAAGAUUUCUUGCAAUGUAUUAGUUGGAUUGGAGUGAAAUUUAUGAAUGAGGAUAAUAGACUUGUUUUUCUAUAUAUAUUAGAAUUUUGAGAUCAAUUGAAUGGUGAAAAGAAGAGAUAUUACCCUGGGAGAUUGGCAUCAUGAUCAGAGAAAGAGGCUAGCUAAUAGUUGAGCACAUUUUUGAGGUUAUAAUUAUUUGGUAAUUCCGAUCUUUUUCAAAUUUUUUGUACUUAUUUUCAACUCAAUUAUUAAGAAGUGUAAAAAUUUUGAGUUAAGAUAAAUUAUUCAUUCAUUAAUUAUUGAGGUAUAAAUUUGUUGUAGGAAUUACUAGGAUUAACUUUAGAAUUUAGGAUUUAAGAUUUAGGAUUUGAUUUAAGGUUUAGGAUUUGGUUAGGAUUUGAUUUAAGAUUUAGGAUUUGAUUAGGAUUUGAUUUAGGAUUAGGAUUUGCUUAGGAAUUGAUUUAGAAUUUAGGACUUGGUUAGGAUUUGAUUUAGGAUUUAGGGUUUUACUAGGAUUUAUUUAGGAUUUAAGAUUUAGUUAGUUUUUGGCCUAAAUUUUGAAUGAAGUCCAAUUGGAUUUUAACUAGGAUUAAAUUAAGAUUGAAUUGAGAUGUAUUUGACAUAUAUUUGUGAUCAUUCAAAUAUUUCUUUAAGAUUUCUUAUUAUUUAGUUAGUAUUCUGUUAGAGUUAAGAUUUUGUUAUUACAAUUUUUAUUCUACCUUCCACAGCUAGGUGCUCGAAGUAUUUUCAAGCAAGACUUCAUGUAUUUCCACAUCGAUGCCUUUACUCAAAAGUUCUAUUUUCUUGUUCUAACUCAUCAACAACUUGGUGAGUUUUGGAACUAUGAAUUUACCUUAUCUUGUUGGUACUUG